UUUCUACAGCCCUCGCCGAAGCCCAGGCAGUGCCACGAAGCAGAACUGCUUUCUGUUUGAGGUGUCAGCAACUCCUGCCCCCGAGCGCUCAGCCAACAGCUUGGCUUUUCUUGUGCACUCACUGCAAGCACACUCUGCUGUCUAUGUAUAUGCAGUUGCUAAAGUUAACCAGGGAUGCUGUGCACAAGCAGCAAAGUGAUCCUGCUACUGUACUGAAAUCCAGAUGUAGGACCCAAGAGGAUGGUACAGAAGCUGAGAUAUCUCACCACGCUUGAUGGCCUCUGGGAUGGACACGGCCAAAGGAGGUAAUGCCUCUGGAUGCAGUGAACACUAGUCUACGUGUGGCAGAGUAUAAAAGCUGAGAGAUUCAUGAUCCCAUCUAAAAGAUACACUGUGCUUUCUCUGAGGUGCUCUAUCAGAGCACAUCUGCUGCAAGGCUCCAGCCUGGCAGGCAUGUCUCAUCUGUCAGACACAGGUGAAGAAGAGCAGGUUGAUCUUCCAAGUGAGAGAGCAAGCUACAGAGAACAAAAGCAAAACUGUCUCAUUUUGGGCUGUCAUUGUGAAAGCUGCUAGGGCUGAGGGCUGAGUGCCCCAACAUGCUAUCAAAGAAAAUAAAUGAAUUCUGAUUCAGGUUUAGCUGCACAUUAGGUGAGCAUACGGCUGUGCUGCUCUAAUUAUUAGAGAAUUUGGCCUUCCAAAGUGGUGUAUUUUAUUUCUGAAGGAGUGACUUUUUCAUGUUUGGCAUUCUACAAAACAGUCUGUAUGGGUAAGGACACUUUGAUAUUCAUAUAAAUUGUGUUGUUUAAACGAAGUACACAAAAACACAUGGUCAAUAGCCAUCAUAUUUUAAUAGCAACAGUUCAUGGAAGUAGCAUUACACAGAACAAAAAUCCAUUUAAAAGCGUCAAAGCUGCUUUUCCCUACAUGCACACACAGUGCAGUGCUGCUGGGCAAAUAGAUAAAUGCAACCCGUUGGACCUGCAAAUCAAUUUCUGCAUUGUUAGAGACAAGUGAAAAUGAGUCUUUUGCACUAUUGACCCCAGACAGGCUGGGCAAUGGUAAUAGCAGGUCAGCCCACUGCUUCCUUUAUGGCCCAAUGCUGAUAACUCUGCUAAAUUAUCUCCAACUAAAACCUGGAGGUUGUGGCUAGUGAGGAAUAAGAAUCACUAGGGUUUCCCAUGCUCUCCAGUUAUGACGAAAGCAAAGGGAGACAAGUUCGUGGCAGAGUACAGCAUGAUCAUACCUACUGAGCACUGACAGGCAAGCUCCAACAGGUUUCAAUGGGCAUCCAAAGGCUUUAGUGCUCUCAGAUGUCCACCCCAGCUGCACAAACAUCCUCACCCUGGUUUUGGGUACUUAUAGCUCAGUGGGUGCUGUAAGCUGGUGAGUCAGUCUCCUCUGUCUGCUGAGUUUGUUAUCUGGCAGCAACAGCAGUUACUGGUGGGUGCUAAGGCCCUGAAGCUUUUCCUUCCAUUAUGAGUUUUAACACUUUUCCUUCUGGGGUCAGAUGCUGAGCAAGCAGGACACUGGUCCAGCAGAGCAGGAAAAUCAGGCUUCUGAGAUGUCAGCACCCAAGCUGGAGGGUAGAAGCAGGACUCAGAAGUGGGUGACAAAGUGCACAAGUGGCCACAGAAAUCCUCCAAGACUUAAAAACCUUCCCACCAACAGAUAUUGUAUAAUCAUGUAGAGCUCUCUGUCCUGGCACAGGAUUCACCAGCAGCCAGCACCUGGAAUACUGUGCUCCUUUGCACUGAGCUGAAACAUGAACAUAAAUUAUCACUUCUGAAUUUACUUCACUGCAAAAAGAGGAAAAUACUCAACUAGGAGGUAUAAAGUGGCACAGGCUGCCCAGGGAGGUGGUGCAGUAACUGUCCCUGGAGGUGUUCAAGAACCGUGUGGAUGUGGGACUGAGAGAUGUGGGCAGUGAGUUUGGUGGGGAUGGGCUGAUGGUUGGACCAGGUGAUCUUAGAGGUCUUUUCCAACCUUCAUGAUUCUAUGGUUCUAAAGCCUCUGUAAGCCAGCCCUUUGCACUUGUGACCAUCUCCAUACGCAUGGUGAGCACAGUCUGUGGAGGAUGAGGUGAGGUUAUUGCAGCCCCUUGUGACUGCUGAGGAAAAUGUACAAGGCCUGAGGUUGUUUAGGCUAGAGCAGACUAGAGAGAAGGAUUAUUGGCAGUCAGCAUGAAGACUUUUGCAGGGGAAUAGAACCAUCGUCUUCAGUCUUGUAAGCAGAAACUGAAGGAGGAGAGCAGCAAUCGCAGAAUAGAUACACUUUCCCAAGCACUAUGGACAAUGCACCACUAUGAGGGCUUGUCUGAAGUGGACGGCUUGUCUGAACUGGACCAGAUCCAUCAUCUCUGGAGGCUUUUAGGAACAGACUGGAGAAGUACCUGUCAAGAAUAGCACAGCUCUUCUGGGCAGGCAAAACUUCUAGUCCUCCUUAGCCCCAUUUUUCUACCAUUGUAGGACAUUUGCAAAACACUGCUUUGAAAACUCAGCCUUGUGACUAAUUUUAAGGGUUACAUCUCCAGCAGGCAUAGCUGGAAACAAAUUUGCACAGUUUGUAUACUGUGGACCUGGACAGUGUUGGGUAUUCAGGUCCCUUCUUACUACUCUUCACAAAGCUUUGAGGUGAAAGGUCGAGCUAACAUGUAAUUCUGAGUAUGUCUCUUCCAGAGAGAUGAGACACUGAUGGCCAACUGAAAAAAUCAGCAGAAAAACAGCUGCAUCAUCCCAGCCAUAUAUGAAACAGUACUUUUCUUCAUUUCAACAUUGUGCUUUAUUCUCCCUCUCCUUUAUCUAUCACUUUAGAAUUUAUUUUCUCUUCACUGAAUUUAGCAAUAACUCCUAUGAUGCCAAAACAAGAUAUUACCUUGACUAGGCUUCAUGAGCUUAAAAACACCACAAAACUACUCUGUCUGUGCAGGCAGGAAGGAGGUUUUUCCUGGCUAAUGUAGAACAUGUCAAAGAGAAAAAAAAAAAAA